GUGCAACGAUUAGCUCUGUGUUUGACUACUUAUAAGGAUUGUUUCCUUUUUUCAGCUCAGAAAUGUCCAGUCGUGGGAUGUUGAAAGCAGAAGAAAAAUAAGACCUCCUUAGUUACACCUCAGAGGAAAAAAAAAAAAAAAAAGAUGACUAUAACAAUGUUCUUAUAGGUCAAAGCUUUCAACAGGAUACAUUGCAGGCUGUUUCUAUCUGGGUCACACACACUGAACAGAGACGAGACAUGAAAGCUGCGGUGGGACUGCUGGUGCUGCUGGUCGGAGUUUCUUAUAGUGUGAAAACUUACUGUGAUGGCAGACAGGAUGGAGCUCAGUGUUAUGGAGCUUUGAGAGGAAGUGUGGAUAUCCAACUGAUGAAAAGCACCUCAGAAUUACCUAGAUACCAAUUAUUAAAGAAUUCUUUAAAAAUAUUAGAUGUGAAAAAUAAUCAGGUUAAUAUGAUAGGAAACAGGUCUACCAUUAUUCCCAGUAAUGGAACAUUUAGGCUCAAUAACCUGAGCAGCAAUGACAGUGGUAAUUAUAGCCUUAAGACCUUUGAUUCAGAUGGAAAAUCAUCAGGCCAGCGGACUUUACAGUUGUUUAUUCAAGCUCCUGUGUCCUCUGUCCUGCUGGUCUCUGAGUGUCUGUCCCAGGGAGAGAUGAAGGUGUCCUGCUCCUCUGAGGGAGGGGACAGUCCUCAGUACAGCUGGACUCUGGAUGGACGCACACUGACAGAUGCUGAGCUUCUUUCUGUAAAUAAUGAGAGUAACAUCAUCACUCUGAAACAGCACGUCUCAGGACGUCUUGCCUGCUCAGUCAGAAACAACGUCUCCAAAGAGGAGAGAAUAUCUACCUGUGGCUGCAUUUUCAUUAACUGCACUUCAGUCAAUGGGUCACAGAUAUCACGGUGGGUGUAUAAAGCCAAUAACACCCUGUGUAUUAAAACAACAACAGAUCAUACACAAACUGGCAUCGUGUCAAAAGAAAACUCCACUAACAGCAGUGAUGAUCCAUGGUACAUUAGAUAUUUCCCAAUGGUUAGUAUUGUUCUCUCAGCAGCUGUAAUUUACUUAGUUGUGGGUGUAGCACUCAUCUGUGCUCAGAGGAAAAAGCAAAACAACAGACCAACAAAACAAAAAGAUGAAGAAGGUGAGCACGAAGUAACAUAUGCUAAUCUAGGGGUCAUGAAACAGCAGGAGAAGCGAGUGGAGCAAACAGGACAGGUGGAAGCAGAGGUGGAGUAUGGCCAAGUCCACUUUUCAAAGCCGCUUCAGCACACUGAACCUACAGAAGAUGAUUGCUUGUAUGCCAGAGUUCAUAAAGUCAGGUGAAUUAAGAGCUUCUAUGCAGAAUAACCACUGAAGAGCCACAGAGGGAGGACUUGUUGUCAAGAUGUGUGAAUGUCUCUCAUUUAUUGUGAUUUUCAGUGUAUGAGCUUUUCACAUCAAUGCUCAUGCAUAUUGAUUUUCUUCACUUUCACUGCACUUGUUGUUCAUAACAAGGCAUAAAUCCAUACUGUAUUAGGUGGCUCUCAAUUACAAGCACCAUGAGUUUAUUAUUUUAUUUUUCAUUUGUAUUCUGUUAAAGAUCUGAGAUUUCCUCCUGUCAUCAUGUCAGCGUGACAAGUUUUUCACUUAUCUCGUUAAAAGAAUAAGGUAAAAUUGAAAAACUGAAUUGUUUGACAAAUUUCACUGCAGCAACACUUUACAGUGAUACAAAUUUACAUAUUGAAUAAAAACAAUAAUUUAAUAACUCAUUAUUGUUAAUAAAUUAUAAUAAUAAUACAUGUACUAAGUCAGACCUUCCCAAAGUGUGGGGCCCGCCCCCUAGGGGGGGCGCAGAGCCAUCGCAGGGGGUGCUCGGUAUGAAAAGGGAAAAAAAAAAAAAACAAUGCUUGGACACUGCUAGCACGGGGCUCCUAC
ensembl:lncRNA